rnacentral:rRNA from 1 species
AUUGAACGCUGGCGGCAUGCUUUACACAUGCAAGUCGAACGGUAACAGGCCGCAAGGUGCUGACGAGUGGCGAACGGGUGAGUAAUGCAUCGGAACGUGCCCAGUCGUGGGGGAUAACGCAGCGAAAGCUGCGCUAAUACCGCAUACGAUCUAUGGAUGAAAGCGGGGGACCGUAAGGCCUCGCGCGAUUGGAGCGGCCGAUGUCAGAUUAGGUAGUUGGUGGGGUAAAGGCUCACCAAGCCAACGAUCUGGAGCUGGUCUGAGAGGACGACCCGCCACGCUGGGACUGAGACACGGCCCAGACUCCAACGGGAGGCAGCAGUGGGGAAUUUUGGACAAUGGGCGCAAGCCUGAUCCAGCAAUGCCGCGUGCAGGAAGAAGGCCUUCGGGUUGUAAACUGCUUUUGUACGGAACGAAAAGGCUCUGGAUAAUACCUGGGGCUCAUGACGGUACCGUAAGAAUAAGCACCGGCUAACUACGUGCCAGCCGCCGCAGUAAGAC